rnacentral:rRNA from 1 species
AGAGUUUGAUCCUGGCUCAGAUUGAACGCUGGCGGAAUGCUUUACACAUGCAAGUCGAACGGCAGCACGGGGCAACCUGGUGGCGAGUGGCGAACGGGUGAGUAAUACAUCGGAACGUGCCCAAUCGUGGGGGAUAACGUAGCGAAAGUUACGCUAAUACCGCAUACGAUCUACGGAUGAAAGCGGGGGAUCGCAAGACCUCGCGCGAAUGGAGCGGCCGAUGUCAGAUUAGGUAGUUGGUGGGGUAAAGGCUCACCAAGCCAACGAUCUGUAGCUGGUCUGAGAGGACGACCAGCCACACUGGAACUGAGACACGGUCCAGACUCCUACGGGAGGCAGCAGUGGGGAAUUUUGGACAAUGGGCGCAAGCCUGAUCCAGCCAUUCCGCGUGCAGGAUGAAGGCCUUCGGUUGUAAACUGCUUUUGUACGGAACGAAAAGGUCCUGGUUAAUACCUGGGGCUCAUGACGGUACCGUAAGAAUAAGCACCGGCUAACUACGUG